rnacentral:rRNA from 1 species
GCUAAUACCGCAUAUACUCUGAGGAGGAAAGUAGGGGAUCGAAAGACCUUAUGCUUUUGGGGCGGCCGAUGUCUGAUUAGCUAGUUGGUAGGGUAAUGGCUUACCAAGGCGACGAUCAGUAGUUGGUCUGAGAGGACGACCAGCCACACUGGGACUGAGACACGGCCCAGACUCCUACGGGAGGCAGCAGUGGGGAAUUUUGGACAAUGGGCGCAAGCCUGAUCCAGCAAUGCCGCGUGAGUGAAGAAGGCCUUCGGGUUGUAAAGCUCUUUCAGUUGAAAAGAAAUGACUAUGACUAAUAAUUAUAAUUCAUGACGGUAYCAACAGAAGAAGCACCGGCUAACUACGUGCCAGCAGCCGCGGUAAUACGUAGGGUGCGAGCGUUAAUCGGAAUUACUGGGCGUAAAGGGUGCGCAGGCGGUUCUGUAAGUCAGAUGUGAAAUCCCCGGGCUUAACCUGGGAACUGCGUUUGAAACUAC